rnacentral:tRNA from 1 species
GCCUGGGUGGCUCAGCCGGUAGGGCAUCUGACUCUUGAUUUCAGCUCAGGUCAUGAUCUCAAGGUUUGUGGGUUCAAGCCCUGCAUCAGGCU